GCUAAUAGAUGGUGUUUUUUUUAAACAAAAUAAAUUUGUUUAAGGUACAAAAUAAUAUUUUAGGUAGACUAAUUUUUUAAAAAAAACACCUAACUCAGAAAAAUGUCAUAGUUUAAAGAUUAUGAAGAUAUAUAUUUUUUUAAUUUGCCAGUUUGCCGCCCAUAUAAAAUUAAAUGAAAACCCUUAAACCGAUUUUUUGUCUUUCCCAAAAUCUCGUACUUUAAAGGAAAAAAAGAAACAGAGAAAAAAGUUCACCCUUUGUUUUUCAGAAAUGGAAGAAGAAGAUCAGCGCAAAGUCACAGAUCUAGUAAUUGAGCUAGUUCGUCGUUUACUCUCUCAACAAAACCCUCAAAACGCAAGCCCUAACUCUCCUCAUCUCUCCCAAUCUCUUCGCUACGCUCUCCGCAUUCUAUCCAGCCGUUUAACCCCUUCCGUUUCCCCUGAUGCGGACGCCGUCGCCGAAUCCAUCAAGCGCCGUCUCGCCACUCAAGGUAACUCCUCUGAUGCCCUUACUUUCGCUGAUCUCUAUACCAAGUUCGCUUCCAAAAAUGGUCCGGGCAGCGUUAAUAACAAAUGGGCUGUUCUUUAUUUGCUUAAAAUUAUAUCCGAGGAUCGAAAAAAUGCUAUCAGUGGGAUGGAUUCUUCGGUUUUCUUGCCUAAUUUAGGUUUAAAUGAUGAUGAAAUGGGAAAUGAUUUAAGGGUUUUGAAUGCUAAAGAGAAUAGAGAAAAGGCUUGGAAAAAUGGGGUUUUAUUGGUUUCAAAAGACCCCGAAAAUUUGCGCGAAAUUUCGUUUAGGGAGUUUGGGAAUUUAGUUGAGGAAGAGAAUGAGGUGACUGAAGAGGUUUUGGUUAGAGAUGUGUUGUAUGCUUGUCAAGGGAUUGAUGGGAAGUAUGUGAAAUUUGAUAGUAAUUUAGAUGGUUAUGCUUUAUCAGAUUCAAUUAAGGUACCUAGAGCUACUCGAACUAUUGUUAGGAAGCUUUGUGAAUUAGGCUGGUUGUUUAGGAAAGUUAAAGGGUAUAUUUCAGAGAGUAUGGAUCGUUUUCCUGCUGAAGAUGUGGGGACUGUAGGCCAGGCAUUUUGUGCUGCUUUGCAGGAUGAGUUAUCGGAGUAUUAUAAGUUGUUGGCUGUCCUAGAGGCUCAGUCAACAAAUCCAAUUCCAUUGGUUUCAGAGAAUGCAAGUUCAGGGAACUACUUGUCCUUGAGGAGAUUGUCAGUUUGGUUUGCUGAGCCAAUGGUGAAAAUGAGACUGAUGGCCAUUUUGGUUGAUAAGUGUAAAGCUUUGAGGGGAGGUGCUAUGGCUGGCGCUAUUCAUUUGCAUGCACAGCAUGGUGAUCCUCUAGUCCAUGACUUCAUGAGGCGAUUGCUUAGGAGGGUGUGCUCUCCGCUUUUUGAAAUGGUGAGGAGCUGGGUUUUGGAAGGGGAAUUGGAGGACAUUUUUGCUGAAUUCUUUAUUGUGGGGCAACCAGUGAAAGCUGAAUCCCUUUGGAGAGAAGGUUACCGACUGCAUGCUGGAAUGUUGCCUCUGUUCAUUUCCCAAUCUAUUGCUCAACGUAUUCUGAGGACUGGGAAAUCUAUUAAUUUUCUUCGUGUUUGUUGUGAUGACCGAGGUUGGGCGGAUGCAGCAACAGAGGCUGUAGCUGCUGCUGGAGUGACUACUAGAAGAGGGGGUCUUGGAUAUGGAGAAACUGAUGCACUUGAAUCUCUAGUCAUGGAAGCAGCUAAGAGAAUUGAUAAGCAUUUGUUGGAUGUUAUAUACAAGAGGUACAAGUUUAAAGAACACUGUCUUGCAAUCAAGAGAUAUUUGCUGCUUGGGCAGGGUGAUUUUGUUCAGUACCUGAUGGAUAUUGUUGGACCAGAGCUUUCUGAGCCUGCUAAUACUAUUAGUUCCUUCAAGUUAGCUGGAUUACUGGAAAGUGCAAUUCGGUCAUCUAAUGCUCAGUAUGAUGAUCCUGACAUACUAGAUCGGUUGAGAGUUAAGAUGAUGCCACACGGCACUGGUGACCGUGGAUGGGAUGUAUUCUCAUUGGAAUAUGAUGCUAGGGUUCCUUUAGAUACAGUGUUUACUGAAUCUGUCAUGACAAGGUAUUUAAGAAUUUUUAAUUUUCUGUGGAAGCUUAGACAGGUGGAGCAUGCACUCAUUGGUGCUUGGAAGACAAUGAAACCCAAUUGUCUUACUUCACAUGUAUACACAAAGCUGCAACAUGCUGUAAAAUUGCAAUUGCUUUCAACAUUGAGGCGAUGCCAGGUUCUUUGGGAUGAGAUGAAUCAUUUUGUUACCAACUUGCAAUACUAUAUCAUGUUUGAAGUCUUGGAGGUGUCAUGGUCCAAUUUUUCCAAUGAAAUGGAAGUAGCCAAAGAUCUUGAUGAUCUACUUGCAGCACAUGAGAAGUACCUCCACUCAAUUGUAGAAAAAUCACUCCUGGGUGAAAGAUCUCAAACCCUUUACAAGUCACUGUUUGUCCUCUUUGACCUUAUACUGCAAUUUAGAAGUCUUGCAGAUCGGUUAUAUGAAGGAAUUCAUGAGUUACAAGCGAGAACUGCAGAAUCCUCUUUAAGUUCUCGAGACAAAAACAAACUGAGGCAAACCAAGGAUAAAUCUUCAGAGCCAGGGUCUUGGAUUAGGGAAGGCAGGAAAGCUCUAACACAGCGUGCUAGUGAAUUCCUUCAAAAUAUGGGACAAGAACUAGAUGCAUUAGCUACGGAGUAUAAAUCAUUGCUUGAGGGUUUCUUAACUCAGUUGCCUGUUCAGCAACAUGUAGAUUUGAAAUUCCUCCUUUUCCGGUUAGAUUUCACUGAAUUUUAUACUCGACAGCAUGCUACCAUGUAAAGCUAUCAACACGUAUGGGUUUAAGGAGUUGCUGCUCAUAUUUGAGACAUAAAUGUAGUUCUUCAAUUCACUAAUGUCAUUUUCACAAUGCUCCCACUUGAAUGAACAAUCUCUUGUACACCUGGUGAACAUUUAGACUGACCAAUUUGUACAACAUCUCUUCGUUUUUAGAUGUCUUUCGGAUGGCUUGUUUGGAAUGUUGCAGUUGAUUUGAAGGGAUGGCAUAUGUUUCUGUUCAUUAUGUUGCUGUGUUCCGCUGUGGAACACAAAUAGAUGAUAUAUUCAGUAGUUUUGGAUUACUUACACAAUGCUCAUGUCGUGUGAACCUAUUCCUCAGCCAUGAUCUUAAUUUUGUAUGUUCCCCCCCUCCCCCUAAAACUGUUAUAGCUGCAAAGGGCUUUUCAAAAGAGCAAAAUCCACAUUACCAAUGAUGCUAGUGGUUGGGUUUUUACUUUGUCAAUGUGAGAAUUCUUAUUCUCAUGGCUUAUCAUUAUGGUUUCACCCAUCGAUAAGCAAUAGCUUUCAGAUUCGAGAUGCCAAGGAAGUCAGUGGUGUAUGAGGUGAACUGAAAUCCUCUGUCCUUUCUGCCAGCUCCAAUUCGUGCCCUAUUAAUCUAAUUAGUCCAUGUGUCAGAUUGAAUUUUAUAUUUUUACUUCCUGUUAA